rnacentral:misc_RNA from 1 species
UUCUUCUCUAGCAAAGAAAGAACAGUCUUCUGCCUAAAAAUCGAACCAAGAGUUUUGUUCUUUCGGUUGAAACAGAUUCUCAGGAAUCCAUCCCACUCCUUCUGUUUCACCUCAAUACGCGGUUUCCUUGGCUCAAUUCGAACGACAGACGAGUCCACCUUAGGCGGAGGACGAAAGUUAUUCUUCCCAACUUUGAGGAGAUGAGACACUCGAGCUAGG